rnacentral:miRNA from 1 species
CCAGAACUCAAGUACUGAGG